UAAAAAUGUCAUUUUCGAAAAAAAAAUAAAAAAAAAAUUGAUGGCAUUUUCGUUAAUUAUAUGAACUUGUGGGGUGAAUAGGGCAUAACUAAUUUAAAAAAAAAAGGUGGUUAGUUUUGUGUUUGACUUUGAGUUGUAGGUGAAUUUUGCAAAAAACCCAUUCAUUAAAAUAUAAGGAUAUAGUUAUAUGUAAAUUACAUGAUAGAAUUGAUAAUAU
rnacentral:lncRNA from 1 species